UCAAACUUGGUCAUUUAGAGGAAGUAAAAGUCGUAACAAGGUUUCCGUAGGUGAACCUGCGGAAGGAUCAUUAGAGGAAUAUUCUUUUCCCCUUGUCCACACACAAAGUGCACCUUCGCCGGGCGCAAGCCUGUCCUUUUUAACACACACAACCCUGUAACAGUCGCUGAACGUGGAAACACAUAAAAAUGAAAACAACUUUCAACAACGGAUCUCUUGGCUCUCGCAUCGAUGAAGAACGCAGC
rnacentral:misc_RNA from 1 species